CGGGGAAUAUUGCACAAUGGGCGAAAGCCUGAUGCAGCAACGCCGCGUGAGUGAUGAAGGUCUUCGGAUUGUAAAGCUCUGUCUUUUGGGACGAUAAUGACGGUACCAAAGGAGGAAGCCACGGCUAACUACGUGCCAGCAGCCGCGGUAAUACGUAGGUGGCGAGCGUUGUCCGGAUUUACUGGGCGUAAAGGGUGCGUAGGCGGAUGUUUAAGUGAGAUGUGAAAUACCCGGGCUUAACUUGGGUGCUGCAUUUCAAACUGGAUAUCUAGAGUGCAGGAGAGGAGAAUGGAAUUCCUAGUGUAGCGGUGAAAUGCGUAGAGAUUAGGAAGAACACCAGUGGCGAAGGCGAUUCUCUGGACUGUAACUGACGCUGAGGCACGAAAGCGUGGGUAGCAAACAGGAUUAGAUACCCUGGUAGUCCACGCCGUAAACGAUGAGUACUAGGUGUAGGAGGUAUCGACCCCUUCUGUGCCGCAGUAAACACAUUAAGUACUCCGCCUGGGAAGUACGAUCGCAAGAUUAAAACUCUAAAGUGAAUUG
rnacentral:rRNA from 1 species